AAUAUUGACUAAAUCCUCUGCCAAUCUUGUCACCUUGGCGUUCAAGGCCUCAAUUUCAGCCUUUAACCGCUCCGUUUCACAUCUGUAUUGGUCACUCAAUACCAAUUUCUCUUGCGCCAAUAACUCGGCCUUUUCUCGUUCCAUUACCAAAUGACCCUUCACUUUUUCUAGUUCCAAAAUUGAAUGACUGCGAGCCAGGAAUAGUUCUUACCUGUGGAUCUCCACCAUGCGUUCUCUUUCUUGUGACUGGCUCCUCACUGUUAACUCUUAACUAGAACUACUACUCUCGAAAACACAGGAAAUACAAGAAAAUGGCACUCCAGCCAACCCAAAACAACACCACAGAAUGACUUUAAUUGGUGCCCCACUCCUAUUCUUUUACUACC
rnacentral:lncRNA from 1 species